AACGAACGCUGGCGGCAUGCCUAACACAUGCAAGUCGAACGAGACCUUCGGGUCUGGUGGCGCACGGGUGCGUAACGCGUGGGAACCUGCCCUUAGGUUCGGAAUAACUCCCCGAAAGGGGUGCUAAUACCGGAUAAUGUCUUCGGACCAAAGAUUUAUCGCCUUUGGAUGGGCCCGCGUUGGAUUAGCUAGUUGGUAGGGUAAAAGCCUACCAAGGCGACGAUCCAUAGCUGGUCUGAGAGGAUGAUCAGCCACACUGGGACUGAGACACGGCCCAGACUCCUACGGGAGGCAGCAGUGGGGAAUAUUGGACAAUGGGCGAAAGCCUGAUCCAGCAAUGCCGCGUGAGUGAUGAAGGCCUUAGGGUUGUAAAGCUCUUUUAACCGGGAUGAUAAUGACAGUACCGGGAGAAUAAGCUCCGGCUAACUCCGUG
rnacentral:rRNA from 1 species